rnacentral:rRNA from 1 species
UACGAAGGGUGCAAGCGUUACUCGGAAUUACUGGGCGUAAAGCGUGCGUAGGCGGUUCGUUAAGUCUGAUGUGAAAGCCCUGGGCUCAACCUGGGAACUGCAUUGGAUACUGGCGAUCUGGAGUGCGGUAGAGGGUGGCGGAAUUCCCGGUGUAGCAGUGAAAUGCGUAGAUAUCGGGAGGAACAUCCGUGGCGAAGGCGGCCACCUGGACCAGCACUGACACUGAGGCACGAAAGCGUGGGGAGCAAACAGG